rnacentral:misc_RNA from 1 species
AGCAGCCGCGGUAAUUCCAGCUCCAAUAGCGUAUAUUAAAGUUGUUGCAGUUAAAAAGCUCGUAGUUGAACUUCAGGCCUGUCCAGAUGGUCCGCCUUAAUUGGUGUGUACUGUCCUUGGGUGGGUCCUACCUUCUGGCGAAGCGGCAUGGCCUUAGUUGGUUGUGUCGGGGAACCAGGACUUUUACUGUGAAAAAUUAGAGUGUUCAAAGCAGGCAUAUAUGCUCGAAUACAUUAGCAUGGAAUAAUGGAAUAGGACGAUGGUUCUAUUUUGUUGGUUCUAGGACCGUUGUAAUGAUUAAUAGGGAUAGUUGGGGGCAUUAGUAUUCAAUUGUCAGAGGUGAAAUUCUUGGAUUUAUUGAAGACUAACUACUGCGAAAGCAUUUGCCAAGGAUGUUUUCAUUAAUCUAAGAACGAAAGUUAGGGGAUCGAAGACGAUCAGAUACCGUCGUAGUCUUAACCAUAAACUAUGCCGACUAGGAAUCGGGCGAUGUUGACAAAAUGACUCGACUCGGA